CGCCCGGUUGGGCCGGGGUGAUCUGGGCCGGGUCGUUGACGCCGACCACGGUCACUUCGACGGUGGCGGUGGACGUC
rnacentral:tRNA from 1 species